rnacentral:rRNA from 1 species
UUCCUACGGGGGGCAGCAGUGAGGAAUAUUGGUCAAUGGCCGUAAGGCUGAACCAGCCAAGUAGCGUGAGGGAAGACUGCCCUAUGGGUUGUAAACCUCUUUUAUGCGGGGAUAAAGGUGUCCACGUGUGGAUGUUUGCAGGUACCGCAUGAAUAAGGACCGGCUAAUUCCGUGCCAGCAGCCGCGGUAAUACGGAGGAUGCGAGCGUUAUCCGGAUUUAUUGGGUUUAAAGGGUGCGCAGGCGGAGGUGCAAGUCAGCGGUCAAAUUGCGGGGCUCAACCCCGUACUGCCGUUGAAACUGCAUC